AUAGACAGUGUGAUCAUAUUGUACAGAUAAACAGAAAAGCUCUGAAAUCAUUAAUAAGCAAGCACGCCAGUGAAAAAUCUAAAUUGGAUCUUGUAGAUGAUUCAUAUACAUUAGGACUUGGUGUUAUUAUGGACAUUCUAAGAAAGGGUCUAGGAAAUAGAGUAACCGCUAUAAUUCCUAAAUUAGAAGCACAGCAAAUCUGGGAUGUCAAUGCGGACUGUAAAAAAAUAAGAACAAUGUUUGUAUAGGUUUUAUUUUAAAUCCUGAAGAGGCCUUAAAUGUUUUACAUAAGGGACCUGGAGCAAAUUUACCAGAAGCUGAAGAGUUCAGAAAAUUUUGGGGUUCAAAAUCAGAAUUGAGAAGAUUUCAAGAUGGUUCAAUUUCAGAAGCAUGUGUUUGGGGUAAAUCAACCGAUACCAUGUCUGCGAGGAGAAAUAUCACACGAGAUAUUGUUUUAUAUUUAUUACAAAAUAAUUUAUCCAUACAAGCAGAGCACAUAAAAUAUAUUUCAAAUCAAAUCGAAAGUAUUUUAAAAUUGCUCUCUGUGAAACCACAAAGUUUUGAAUAUGGAACAGGAGAAGAAGCUACAAUGAAGGUUAUCCAAGCUUUUGAUUCUUUGUCAAAAGAUUUAAGAAAUUUAAAAGAUCUGGCGUUAGAAAUUACAGCAUUGCAAG